GUACCGCGGCUGCUGGCACGGAGUUAGCCGGGGUUUCUUUACCAGGUACUGUCAUUAUCAUCCCUGGCGAAAGAGCUUUACGACCCUAAGGCCUUCAUCACUCACGCGGCAUGGCUGGAUCAGGCUUGCGCCCAUUGUCCAAGAUUCCCCACUGCUGCCUCCCGUAGGAGUCUGGGCCGUGUCUCAGUCCCAGUGUUGCUGAUCAUCCUCUAAAACCAGCUAUAGAUCGUAGACUUGGUAGGCCAUUACCCCACCAACUAUCUAAUCUAACGCGGGCCGAUCCUUCUCCGAUAAAUCUUUCCCCCGAAGGGCGCAUAAGGCAUUAGUCAUCGUUUCCAAUGGUUAUUCCUUAGAGAAGGGCACGUUCCCACGCGUUACUAACCCGUCCGCCGCUCACCCCGAAGGGCGCGCUCGACUUGCAUGUGUUAGGCCUGCCGCCAGCGUUCGUUCUGAGCCAUGAUCNAACUC
rnacentral:rRNA from 1 species